GGAGAGAUGGCUCAGUGGGUAAGAGCACUGACUGCUCUUCCAGAGGUCCUGAGUUCAAUUCCCAGCAACCACA
rnacentral:tRNA from 1 species